AACGAACGCUGGCGGCAUGCCUAACACAUGCAAGUCGAACGAGACCUUCGGGUCUAGUGGCGCACGGGUGCGUAACGCGUGGGAACCUGCCCUUAGGUUCGGAAUAACUCCCCGAAAGGUGUGCUAAUACCGGAUAAUGUCUUCGGACCAAAGAUUUAUCGCCUUUGGAUGGGCCCGCGUUGGAUUAGCUAGUUGGUAGGGUAAAAGCCUACCAAGGCGACGAUCCAUAGCUGGUCUGAGAGGAUGAUCAGCCACACUGGGACUGAGACACGGCCCAGACUCCUAGGGGAGGCAGCAGUGGGGAAUAUUGGACAAUGGGCGAAAGCCUGAUCCAGCAAUGCCGCGUGAGUGAUGAAGGCCUUAGGGUUGUAAAGCUCUUUUACCCGGGAUGAUAAUGACAGUACCGGGAGAAUAAGCUCCGGCUAACUCCGUG
rnacentral:rRNA from 1 species